GUGGUGGUAGUGAGGCCAGUGCUUGUUUGCAUAUGCCAAUAGCUAUACCAGCGUGAGGGAGUACAUUUGCAAUGACUAGGUGGUGGUAGUGACACUUGACUGGUAUUCUAAGGCAAAGACAACUGGCCUUUAAAAUCUACCACUAUGUACCCUCGAAUGUAAUUAUUUAUGGAUGGCACGCAUAGCCUACUUCUGUGACUGGCUUUGCUGACAAUCAUACAGCUCAGUUUUCUAUCCCUUAAUCAAAACUCAGCAGACACAGUGGCUCACGCCUGUAAUCUCAGCACUUCGGGAGGCCAAGGCAGGUGGAUCACCUGUCAGGAAUUCAACACCAGCCUGUCCAACAUUGUGAAACCCCAUCUCUACUAAAAAUAAAACAAUUAGCUGGGUUUAUGGUGCGUGCCUGUAGUCCCAGCUAGUAAGGAGGCUGAGGCCCGAGAAUCAUUUGAACUCAGGAGGCAGUGUUUGCAGUGAGUUGAAAUUGCAACACUGCAUUCCAGCCUAGGCAACAAUGAGGCUCCAUCCAAAAAAAAAAAAAAAUAGCUUUUCUUCUCAAAUCUACUGCAGACUCCUAGAAGGCAAGGGCUGUAGCUUACCAAAAUUAAAAUGAAAUUGUCCAAGCUCCUGAAAUGUUUUAUUAUUAUGGCUUUUUUAUUACAAUAAAAUAUACAUAACAUUUACCAUAUCAACCAUUUUGAAGUGUUCAUUUAAAGCAGCAUUAAGAAUAUUUAUGUUUCUGGGCACAGUGGCUCAUGCCUGAAGUCGCAGCACUUUGGGAGGCCAACCUGGGUGUACCAUUUGAGGUCAAGAGUUUGAGAUCAGCCUGACCAACAUGGUGAACG
rnacentral:lncRNA from 1 species